UCCCUGGUGGUCCAAUGGCUAGGACUCUGCACUCCUAACGCAGGGGUCCCAGGUUCGACCCCUGGUCAGGGAA